rnacentral:rRNA from 1 species
CAGAUAAGGAGCUUGCUCCUUUGACGUUAGCGGCGGACGGGUGAGUAACACGUGGAUAACCUACCUAUAAGACUGGGAUAACUUCGGGAAACCGGAGCUAAUACCGGAUAAGAUUUUGAACCGCAUGGUUCAAUAGUGAAAGACGGUCUUGCUGUCACUUAUAGAUGGAUCCGCGCCGUAUUAGCUAGUUGGUAAGGUAACGGCUUACCAAGGCAACGAUACGUAGCCGACCUGAGAGGGUGAUCGGCCACACUGGAACUGAGACACGGUCCAGACUCCUACGGGAGGCAGCAGUAGGGAAUCUUCCGCAAUGGGCGAAAGCCUGACGGAGCAACGCCGCGUGAGUGAUGAAGGUCUUCGGAUCGUAAAACUCUGUUAUCAGGGAAGAACAAACGUGUAAGUAACUGUGCACGUCUUGACGGUACCUGAUCAGAAAGCCACGGCUAACUACGUGCCAGCAGCCGCGGUAAUACGUAGGUGGCAAGCGUUAUCCGGAAUUAUUGGGCGUAAAGCGCGCGUAGGCGGUUUUUUAAGUCUGAUGUGAAAGCCCACGGCUCAACCGUGGAGGGUCAUUGGAAACUGGAAAACUUGAGUGCAGAAGAGGAAAGUGGAAUUCCAUGUGUAGCGGUG